rnacentral:lncRNA from 10 species
GGGAGGAGUCUGAGGACAUUACUGGAGGGUUCGGAUCUCGAACCUGGGGCCUUGAAGAGGCCCGCGCUUGGGGUUUUUAGGCAACAGCAGGCCUCCAAGCAGAGUCCUGGUGUCCCGGACCGAAUCACUCCCCGAGAGACGGGCAAGGAGAUGGACCGCCAGCCAGGAAUAAUGGGAACCCUUCGCUUGGCAAACGAUAGUUUCCAAACUUAAGGUUGUGGAUGAAACUUUUUGGUGCGGCUGCUGCAGGAGCCCCAGCCCCGGGGUGCUGCUGACCCGAGGCAAGGGAGCCGGCGCACUCACGCUUAGCCGCUAAGGAGUCUGCGGUGUCGGCGAAAGCUCCGGACAUGAUUUUGGAAGCGAGGCCGCACCUCCCGUGGG